rnacentral:lncRNA from 1 species
AUGUCAUCAAGCAGAAACACAAGGGUUAACAAACAGCAUUAGUGAGACACCCUGCAAGAAGUGAAACAUUAGCCCAAUAGACAGCAGCAAGACCCAGUGGGAUCACACCGGCAGCUCUACAGCACUGUUGUGAGUUUUCCUGGCUGUAUGGUUGCCCUCCAUAGGUCGGGAGGAGAAUUGGGAAAGGAAACCAUAAGGAAAUGGGAGCAGGAAAUCAUAACAGUUACAGAACACGUCGCAUUCAGGAGAGUAUAUUUCCCUUUGUGGUCCAAAGGCUUAUGGCAGAUAGGCACCAAGCAAAGGGCUGCAAGGAAGAAAGAAGAAAGGUAGAAAGGAAGAUGGUGGCCCCCAGGGGUCCCAUCCAGUGUGGGGUUGUGAGUAUAAACAGGAAACCAAAGAAGCUCUCCUAUCAACAAAACAUUGAAAACAGCCAUCAAUUUGAAAUGGCUCAUCAUUCUAUGCACUGCACUAUCCAGCUGCCUGAUUGAUUGUGAGAAGUCUGGAACCUGGGGGACUUCCCAGAACCCCACUCCAAUGCCUGUGAAAUAGAUGUCAAGUCCUAAAAUAAAUCAAACUCAUAAGUAAGGAAUAAAGCA